GCCCCCUUGGCCUAAUGGUUAAGGCGCAAGACUUCUAUUAGCGCUAAUCUGCAAAAAGGUUGGCGUCUGCUAGAGCGUAUCUUGAGAUUGCCAGUUCGAGUCUGGCAGGGGGCU
rfam:Trichoderma virens Gv29-8 TRIVIscaffold_2, whole genome shotgun sequence.